UCCCCGUUAUCCGGGGCGGUUUCACCCUGCAUGUCAAGCCCAGGUAAGGUUCUUCGCGUCGCAUCGAAUUAAGCCGCAUGCUCCGCCGCUUGUGCGGGCCCCCGUCAAUUCCUUUGAGUUUUAGCCUUGCGGCCGUACUCCCCAGGCGGGGUGCUUAAUGCGUUAGCUUCGGCACGGAUGGGGUCGAUGUCCACCCACACCUAGCACCCAACGUUUACGGCUAGGACUAC
rnacentral:misc_RNA from 1 species